UACCUUGAUGACAAAACUUCUCAGACCUGUACCGAACCCUCACGGGGAUGCGGAUACACAGAUUGCCUUUUUUACCUGAUC
rnacentral:snoRNA from 1 species